AGAGUUUGAUCCUGGCUCAGAUUGAACGCUGGCGGCAUGCCUUACACAUGCAAGUCGAACGGCAACAGGUCUUCGGAUGCUGACGAGUGGCGAACGGGUGAGUAAUACAUCGGAACGUGCCCGAUCGUGGGGGAUAACGAAGCGAAAGCUUUGCUAAUACCGCAUACGAUCUACGGAUGAAAGCAGGGGACCGCAAGGCCUUGCGCGAACGGAGCGGCCGAUGGCAGAUUAGGUAGUUGGUGGGAUAAAAGCUUACCAAGCCGACGAUCUGUAGCUGGUCUGAGAGGACGACCAGCCACACUGGGACUGAGACACGGCCCAGACUCCUACGGGAGGCAGCAGUGGGGAAUUUUGGACAAUGGGGGCAACCCUGAUCCAGCCAUGCCGCGUGAGUGAAGAAGGCCUUCGGGUUGUAAAGCUCUUUCGGCCGGGAAGAAAUCGCACAGGCUAAUACCCUGUGUGGAUGACGGUACCGGAAUAAGAAGCACCGGCUAACUACGUGCCAGCCGCCGCGGUAAUACA
rnacentral:rRNA from 1 species